rnacentral:rRNA from 1 species
GAGUUUGAUUAUGGCUCAGGAUGAACGCUAGCGAUAGGCUUAACACAUGCAAGUCGAGGGGCAGCGAGGGUAGCAAUACCUGUCGGCGACCGGCGCACGGGUGAGUAACGCGUAUGUAACCUGCCCGCAACAGGGGGAUAACCCGGCGAAAGUCGGACUAAUACCGCAUAAAACAGGGGUCCCGCAUGGGAAUAUUUGUUAAAGAUUUAUCGGUUGCGGAUGGGCAUGCGUACCAUUAGGUAGUUGGUGAGGUAACGGCUCACCAAGCCUUCGAUGGUUAGGGGUUCUGAGAGGAAGGUCCCCCACACUGGUACUGAGACACGGACCAGACUCCUACGGGAGGCAGCAGUGAGGAAUAUUGGUCAAUGGGCGAGAGCCUGAACCAGCCAAGUCGCGUGAAGGAUGACUGCCCUAUGGGUUGUAAACUUCUUUUACAAGGGAAUAAAAUGAGAUACGUGUAUUUUAUUGCAUNACCUNGA